rnacentral:tRNA from 1 species
GAGUGCAUAGCUUAAUGGCAAAGCGUAUCGUUCAUCACGAUAAGAUACAGGUUCGAUUCCUGUUGCAUUCG